UCACAUUCGCUCCACUCAAUUUCAGAUUCACAUUCGCUCUACUCUCUCGUCGGCUCAUCGCAUUCCUUCCGGCUCAGCCCCGACGCGAGGUACGCCGUCUCAGCAGCCUCCGUCCUUCGCCUCCGCUCGUCAGCCAAAGACCGAAGCAGAAGAUGACGACAGACCCAAAAGCAAACGAUAUGUUGCAUGGAACAGAAACUGAGCAACCUGUGCCUGUUGGGUGGUUACAGAAAAUUGAAGAGCGGUAUAGGAAAACCAAAGAAGAUGUCGAGGCGUACCCCUACGUAUGGGGUUCUUAUAUUCUUGUAUACGGAGGUUUUGGUUUAUGGCUGACCUACAGGUGGAGAGCUCUGCGCAAAACUGAAGACAGAGUUCGAGCUCUUCAAGAGAAGAUCCGUAAACAACGCGAGGAGGCGUCUAGCUCUGCUGAAGUUGUAGAGAGAUCAGUAAAAUAUGGUUCGUCGAAACCCAAGCCGCGAUCUGUUGAUAAAGCUAACCAAUAGUCAGGGUAAGCUACUCUUGAAAGAUAAAUAUUCUUCUGGAAACAGAAGAUUCUGGUACAAAUUAUGUACACUUUCACUCGUUGUUAGAUCGUAUGAGCUACAUUCCCAGGAUAUGCUAUUCGAGUAACAGAUCUUACACAUGAAUGGUGAUGUGGAAAACAUUGAUUCUGGCCUUUUGUUUGCAGUUGAAUGCAAAACGAGAAUGUUUGCUUUUGCCAUCGUCUUACGAUGAAUAUAAAUUUCAUUUUUAUGCUGAGGGUUGCUGGAUAUGCUGGUUUGUAAGUUAAAUAGGCAUAGCUGAUUAUGAUUGAUAUGUAAGUAUACAGCUUGUAUUGUUCCAA